GUCUUUCUCAUUCCCAUCUCUCUCACCCAUGCCAACCAACCUCACAUAAGUCGCCGCAGCACCUCUACCACCCCGCGCCCACGCACGCCGCCACCGGCCCACGCCGUGUGUGUUGCCUCCAUGUUGGCAGUGCCUGCGACGAGCGUCGACAGACAAGCCGAGCUCACGCCCACUUCCAUGCCUCCACGCCGAGCGCCGCCGUCGACCCUCUGCAGGGAGCCCGCACCGAGCCUCCGCAGUCCAUGUUGUCGUCCGUGCCCACGCACAGCAUGCCGUAGCCUCCACCUUCCGUCCAUCGGUUCAUCCACCGGUGCCUCAGUUCAAUAUGGUGGAGGAUCGUCGAUGGAUGUAUGAAGGUUGGAAGAAGAGAUGGGCUCUAUCAAGUUAGUUGGUUGCCAAGACCGAUGCUUUUCUCGAACAUGCUUUUGCUAGGUCGGAGACCUAAACCAACGUUAGAUGCCUUUGUAGCAAGUGUUGAAACAUUUUUUUCCUUGACAGAACAACUACGUUGAUAGAUCUUUGUAAGAACGGCUAUAUGCCAAGCUAUAAGGUGUGGAUGCACCACAAUGAGGACUCAUCUCCUUGUAUUGUAUCAAAAGUUCAGUCAGAUGAA